rnacentral:rRNA from 1 species
CCUACGGGAGGCAGCAGUGGGGAAUAUUGGUCAAUGGGCGAAAGCCUGACCCAGCAACGCCGCGUGAAGGAAGAAGGUUUUCGGGUUGUAAACUUCUUUUCUGAGGGACGAAGAAAGUGACGGUAACUCAGGAAUAAGCCACGGCUAACUACGUGCCAGCAGCCGCGGUACUACGUAGGUGGCAAGCGUUAUCCGGAUUUAUUGGGUGUAAAGGGCGUGUAGGCGGGAAAGCAAGUCAGAUGUGAAAACUCAGGGCUCAACCCUGAGCCUGCAUUUGAAACUGUUUUUCUUGAGUGCUGGAGAGGGAAGCGGAAUGCCGGGUGUAGCGGUGAAAUGCGUAGAUAUACGGAGGAACACCAGUGGCGAAGGCGGAUUGCUGGACAGUAACUGACGCUGAGGCGCGAAAGCGUGGGGAGCAAACAGGAUUAGAUACCCGAGUAGUC